rnacentral:lncRNA from 1 species
ACUAGUUUUACCUGCUAUAUAUUAUUAUUUUUUUGAAACGAGGCAAAAGACUUGCCAUUUUCAUUGAUUAAGAAGUGAGAAUUGCCCGGUUAAUUGACGGAAAACCGGGCUAAAACUGAUACAACCCAACCCAUAUAACAUGGGCACCACCGGCCAACCUGGCCACCGACAUGAAACAUGAGCUGCAAAGAAGAAAAGACAUCCGCCGGGGAGUCGCAAGCGUCAUCGUCAUCACCGGUUACCUCCGAACGGGCGACUCCGACUUCACCAUAGAGCUCCACCAACGAAGCCGCCCCCACAAACAGCUACACAGAGCAAUGACGGCACAUGCCAACAGAUGGCCACACGCGCCAACAACCGACAACUCCGACUUUGACGACGAGCCUCACAAGGGAAAUAUGCAGGACUUGCGCCGAUCGUGCCCUAAAGAGCACCUCGGGCACGCCGGGAAGAUCCGACUACCAAAGCCCGAGCUGCGACCCAAGCUCCUCUUGACACCAUCAUCGUUGCCAAACAGAAAUCGGCGCCCCCGAAAUCGCCCGAUCCCGCAGAUCAGAGGUUUCCCUCCGGAGCCAAGGCCGUGGGGUGAGGGGUGGAGCACCAUACAUCAGCGACGCUUCCAAGAAAGAGCGAGACACCCACAGGCGCCGCGCCAGCUCCGGCAAAGGCCGGAAGAAGGAUUUCUCCCUGAGAUGCUCGACCACCACCAGCCCGUAUCGGCCAGCCACAGACCUCCAUCAAACCUCCACCAAACCAGCACCGCAGAGCACCGAGGGGAGCCUCCCGCCAGCGCCCGCCCCUGCCAAGGCCGUCCCGCGCGCCCGCCCGACCAGAUGCCGGGCCCUGGACGCACACCACCGUCACCGCCAUCGGGCCGACCUCACGCCGUCUCCCUCACCAGGCCUUGGGGCAGGAGGUCACCACCGCCACGCCGCAGGAACCGCACCACGCGGAGGCAACGAACAGGCUGCAGCAGAAAACCCUCGAAGAACGCCCGGAUCCAGCCACGCCCGGCCAGAUGCAGCGUCCGCCAGCCUCCCCGCCGGCCACCGAAGCAUCACUGAGGCUCCCGCACCGCCCAGCCGAGCAGAAACGGAGACCCAACGGGAAGCGCCGAGAUCCGGAGCACCACGCCCCCGAAGCCGAGCGCCGCCAAGGGAGAGGCAGGAGCACCACCAGGCCUCGCCGCCGCGCCGCCCACGCGGCCGCAGCAGCCGACAACCGCCGUGAAGACCGGGCCGCAGCCCGAGAUCCAGAGUCGCCCGCGCCGCUGCGGGCCAGGAGAGCCCCGCCGCCGCCGCCGUCCGCUGCGCGGGCUUAGCCCGGCCGCGUCAUUCGGCGGCGGCGAGGGAAGGUGGAGGGGGCGGGGUGGGACGAGGCGCCGACGGUGCUGGGCUCCGCCCGAGCCGCCCAGAGGCGACGCAGGGGACGGGAGGGACCGGGGAACAGUUACCUGCUAUAUUAUGCACUGAUUUGCAUUUCAAAAAUAUUGAUAGAAGGUUUAGCUUCUUCUGCGAUUGAAGAUGUAGUCAUGGGAGGCUCAGAUCAACCAAUCCUUUGAUUUGGUAUCUAUCUUUUGUAUCAUCUAUAUAUGCUACAUAUUGUCUUUUGAUUUGUCUUUCUUUAUUAUUUGACCCAUCAUGGAACAAAUGCUGCCAUUGAAUAUUAUGUUUG